GGUUCUUCAAUUCAUAAUUCCUGAGUUCUUUAAUUACUUUUAUUUACAUUCAAGUUAUUUAUUGGAUUCCCGCUUGCAUCAAGUGCUCUAGUCUUUAUAACAUUAGAGUAGUAAUUAAUAGAUUAGACGUGGUGUUUAGUCUUGCAAUUACCUGGAAUUGCACCCAAUCCUGCGGAUUGUUGUGGUAGCCUUAGGGUAGUGACAGCCCUAACGGUCGACGUAUUCCACCUCGUUCGGAUCGGUGUUGGUAGGACCGUAGUCGGAGCUUCCUAGCCCCCUUCUCAUCUCUUUCUGUGGUUAGUGUUCUGAUGUCCCGAUAUAGAUAAUCUUGAAGUAAUUCUUGAUUCUUAGAUCAACUAGAGAACUCUCAGGAAACUUCCUCUCUUCCCACCAAAAAUAAUUAUAUAGUUAUCCUUGGGC
rnacentral:lncRNA from 1 species